UAGGGCUUGUUUGGUUUCGGCCUUUCCCGGGGGGUUCCCCUAGUUUUCCCGGGCCAACAAAACCCCGGGCUGAGUUGGCCCGGGUCAAUCAACCGCGCUGUUUGGUUGCCCAUGGGUGAGGGAAACCCGUCCCUUCCGCGGCCUUUCCCCGGGCCACCAUUCCACUAGUCCGGACAUGGGGAACGAAUUCCUCGAGUGGCUCUCGGGCGACGCCGCGGGUGGCGACGCAUCCACCUGCUGCUCUACUUCCUCCGGCGACUGGAGCGAGGCGCCUCCACAGUCCUCCAUCUCCUUCCGCUGAGCUCUACUCCGCCUCCGUCGAAGCUCCUCUCCCCUCCGGCCAUGGCGACGGUGGUCUUCCUUGGGUAACGGCGACGGUGGUCUUCCUCCGGGAACGGCGACGGUCCUCCUCUCCUCCGGCGACGAACCGAGUCCUGGCGAAUCUGCGGGAUGAAUUAUUGGAGGAUGCAACUGCUGCUCGUGAGGGAGAACAAUAUUAUUAAUCAGUCCUAAGGUCACGUCUGAACCCACUUGUUGGCCAGUCCUGCAAGUACUCGUACUGAUUUUUUUGUCAUGUCUUUAUGGUUUACUGAACAAUGGUCUAAAGUUGUUCGUAAAAUUGUUCAUAUGGUUUACUGAACAAUGGUCUAAAGUUCAGUUUGAACUUCGGGUGUUACUCUGCAAUAAAGUUUAAUGAUUUUGAA